UCACAUCUAUAUGCAAAUGAUAAAGACCAUCAAUCAAGAAAGCACAUGCAACAACUUUAAUUUCAAAAUAAAUUAUACACAUAUCUUUAUUGAAAUAAAAAUUAUAAUUAUCCUGUACCAGCACAGAUAUGAAAAUUAAAUUUCUACUAGCUACGAGUACACAAUAGUAGUCUUUUAAUAAUAAUCUAUAUCCUAACGAUAGUCACAGAGGGU
rnacentral:lncRNA from 1 species